ACAGGGAGACAGGUGGUGCAUGGUUGUCGUCAGCUCGUGUCGUGAGAUGUUGGGUUAAGUCCCGCAACGAGCGCAACCCCUACGUUUAGUUGCUAACGCGUGAAGGCGAGCACUCUAGACGAACUGCCGUUGACAAAACGGAGGAAGGUGGGAUGACGUCAAAUCAUCAUGCCCCUUAUGUUCUGGGCUACACACGUGCUACAAUGGCCGGUACAGACGGACGCAAAGCCGCGAGGUGGAGCAAAUCCUAAAAAGCCGGUCUCAGUUCGGAUUGCAGGCUGCAAUUCGCCUGCAUGAAGUCGGAAUCGCUAGUAAUCGCAGGUCAGCAUACUGCGGUGAAUACGUUCCCGGGCCUU
rnacentral:rRNA from 1 species